AGUGAACGCUGGCGGUAGGCCUAACACAUGCAAGUCGAACGGCAGCACAGUAAGAGCUUGCUCUUACGGGUGGCGAGUGGCGGACGUGUGAGGAAUACAUCGGAAUCUACUUUUUCGUGGGGGAUAACGUAGGGAAACUUACGCUAAUACCGCAUACGACCUACGGGUGAAAGCAGUGGAUCUUCGGACCUUGCGCGAUUGAAUGAGCCGAUGUCGGAUUAGCUAGUUGGCGGGGUAAAGGCCCACCAAGGCGACGAUCCGUAGCUGGUCUGAGAGGAUGAUCAGCCACACUGGAACUGAGACACGGUCCAGACUCCUACGGGAGGCAGCAGUGGGGAAUAUUGGACAAUGGGCGCAAGCCUGAUCCAGCCAUACCGCGUGGGUGAAGAAGGCCUUCGGGUUGUAAAGCCCUUUUGUUGGGAAAGAAAAGCAGCAGGUUAAUACCCCGCUGUUCUGACGGUACCCAAAGAAUAAGCACCGGCUAACUUCGUG
rnacentral:rRNA from 1 species